UUUUUGUUUGUUGCGCGCGCCUGUGUUGUACUAGUGUAUAUAAAACCAAGAUAUUGUCGAGAAAUUUUCUAAAUAAUGUAUUUUUCUGUAAUAAUUAUAAUAACAUCUAAUUACUUAACAAAAGAGGGAAAGGUUAAAUUCAUCUGUUACAUUCCUAUAACAUAAAAAUAUAUUUAUAAUAGUAUUUAUACUUACUAUCCACACAGUUCCAUAUUGACUUUUCGAGAAGAUAAAAUUGAACGUCUUCGAUAUUCUUUGGCUGUAUUUCUUUUAAUGCAACUUCCCAUUAUGCUCGAGCGCUAGAGAAUGCGAUUCAAUGAACCUUUAUUUUCCCAGUUCCUUCCCUAUUUGCAUUUCAUCAUUCGGAGGGAUGUUGGGCAAACCUGCUCGGACUCCGGAGAAUGCCCGUUCGUCACGCGUCUGAAAUGCGCGGAUUCCGCUUUGUGCAUGCACGUACGUGCGUUAAGGACAACGAGUGGUUUUCGCUGUAAUGCGAACGCCAAACACUCAGACACACAUCCCGGGUUCGUGAGAGCGAACACCUGAGUAUGCGAGCGAGAGCUCGCUCAAACACCCUAUACGAUCAGGGUUGCCCUGGCUUGGAGGACUAGUCGCAAAAUACGAUCAUCUUUCGCCUUCUUAUCACACAUGUGUAUAUUUUCUGCAUUUAAAGCUAUUUUGCCUAGCAUCUUUUAUAUUAAAGCCUUUUAUAUUAAAGCUCUCUUCAUUAAUUAUCGAUCAAGCUAGCUCCAAUUAGCGCAGACGAUGUAUGCGGCGUCGUCCUUUUCUAUCGCUGAAAGGGCGCGUGUGAUUUCACGGGUCUUCGUCGUGGCAAAGGGCGCUCAUAUAAUUCGCGCAUCUGCGGCGCUAGGGAAGAGCGUAAAAUUUAAAUAAAUGUCCGUCGGCGAGCCGUGCCAGAUACGGCGAAUUAAGUGACAUGCUAAUCACGUCUAGCGAUAUACGCGCGAAUGAAUAAUCGGUUGUAUCCCCUUCCUCUUUCUUUGCAUCAGGGAAACCUGUUUUCGAAGCGCACUACACCUUGCACGAUCAUAAAUCGUAGCAAUUUUUACAAUUACCGUUAUUUAUUCUAUAUAUUACUCACACUGAAUUUCUGUUUAAAUAAAAAUUAGAAAGGAAACCCGUUGUGGACGGCUGAAAUGACAGAUCGUCGUAGUAUGAAUUAUAUAAUAAUCAAAACAUGUUUUUGAUAUUGUUAAGAUUAUCUUUAAGUCACUGUUAAGAACAAAAUAAAACGUUUGAAAGCAUUGAGAUAAUAUAUAGCAAGCGGUUAAUAUCGAGCUAUAUUACAGACAUCGAUAGCAGUUAAAGGAUUAAAAACAUUUCCAUGAUGUUUUCUAAUUAUAAUGGUUUCCAAGAUCUUUCUAUCUUGAAUCGACAGGCCUAUAGACAAGCUUAUAGAUCGUGUCGGAAUGCAAUCGAUAUCGAUCCAAUUGGUGCGCAAUCGUGCAGAAAGCUGGCCUUUGCGUUCGAGGGUGGCCGAGCUUUUCUCCACGAUGACACGUAACGCCCAAAACGUGUCACCUGGUCAUGUUCGGUAACGCAAAAGGGUUGAGCAGUCGGUCGGAAAAAUUCGCCUUUACGACUAACGCUCGCGCCCCUCGAUUAUGCCCGCGCGAGUUCAUCGAGAGGAAGAAUCGAUUUUUCCACACGAAGCGUGACCGAUCUCGAUUUUUUUCGGGAACAAACGUUUCAGUCCGCAGACCGAAUCGCGGGCUCUUCUGAACUUUUACUUCAACCCUUUGUCGAGUGACUAAGGAGUCCUUUAUCCAUUAUAAUAUAACGGUAAGUUGUUGAUUUAAUUCUUUUCCAUAAUUUCGUAACGAAAUUUCUUACUUACAUUAUAAGUUUACUUUUAUCGAGGCAGUACCAAAUGCUAUUAUAAUUAUUUGAAUUACAUAUUAUUAUUUAAAUAUAUUAAAAAUCGUUUAUUGCGAUAAUCACUUAUAAAUCGCUAACUGUCGGAUUCAAUAAUUAUUAUUUCGAUAAGUAUUUUUAUUAUUUAACUCUUUUCUCAUGUAUAUACACAUACAUAAAAAACUUACUUUUAAGAGUCAACAUCCAGAUGAUAAUAACGGAUCUCUUAACGGAUGUAUUCGCAUCCAUUCUGUUCUCGUUGCUCGUUCCCGUUAAUGGGGCCGGUUUUUACUCGCGAACUGUAAAAAAAGGAUGCGCAUCAUUGUUCGUUCUACCUGAUUGUGCCUGGGAAACAACAAAUCUAUCGGCUUCCCAUGGCGAGAUGAUGAAAACGUCCAAAUGCAAAAAAUGAAAAAAGUAAUGCAAUAAUUCAAACAACUAUUAUAAUUAUGUACAUAAAAUAAUUAGCAACAAAUGCUGCUUAACGGAAGCAAAAUUAUAAUUAAUCUAUUGUUUAAGAAGAAAAUAUUCUCAAUUACUAAUAAUAUAGAGCGGAUCUACGAAGCAAUUCAAUUUCACCCUCAACUCAUUUUGUUCACCUGUCUGGCAUUUCACCCUGCUUCGUUCCUCCUUUUUCAACACGUGUUACACAUGUCGCGCGGCGAUUUCCAUUCGCGCGUAUUCAAAUUUGCGCACGAUCCCGCCCCCGUUAAAUGCAAAACAAAACGUGCGGGCUGCUUCGGGCGUGCAGGCCGCGAAAAACCAUAAAUCACGAUAAAGGGCGCACGUGCACCCUCUCUCGCGCGCAAAACCGACUAGGAAAACUAUUAACACCCUGCAACGCGCCAACAGCGCAGAGACAAGGGAUUAAAGUAACCAGAUAUGCGAUCCAAAUGAGUUUUGCAUGUGUUACCGAGGAAGGCCGAACUCCAUAUCACAAUUUAAAAAAUAACCCUUUUUUCUCUGCUUCGUAUUAUCAUUAAAUUUCCAUCAUUUUGGAACAUUUAACGAGUGAAUUAUAAUAUAAUUAUAUUUCAUGAUCAUAAUAUAAAAUACACACGAUCUUGUAUCAAUUUUUAUAGUGCAAUUACACAUGGCAUUCUGUUAUUCCAUUAAAGGAGAAAGAAGAGCCUAGCGUAAGAGGAUACGCUGAUCCUGAAAGCACCUGCGGGCCUGACGGAAUAACUCAUGGAAAUGGAGGCUCGACAAUUAGAGUAAAUCGUCUCGUGAAAGAUACAUCAGCUUCCGAAUUCCUGGAUCAAGACGACAUAUUCGAUUAUUACAGUUCGAUGGACAGGCCGAUCGGUGUCGCCGUAAUUUAUCGUCGAGAGCGCGACCGUGUGCCCCCCAUUAUGCAAAAUCACAACAACAACGCUGCGUCCACUCGAGAGAAACGGCCGGCAUCUCUCAUCGGGCCCACGAAAAGGUCCCGGGAAGGGCGAGAGAGUCAUCAAUUACGAUUGGAAAUAAAUCGAAGGCAGAUGCGACGAUCGCCCGCAGGGCCCAUCGCGACGGGUGACCGAUUUCUCGCCCCUCGCAACCCCCCGCAGACAAUACGACUGUUUUCGGCAAAUACAAAACGAUACACGAACCUGCACGCGAUCGUCACCCUCGCGAAUGCGCGAGCUUCUCGAUUUGUCCCCGUUUUAUCGCGACGCCCUCGGGGCAACGACACGACUAUAUAAUCUCGAGCACUUUCAAAAAAGCACUGUGUCCUAAUUAAUUAAUCUCUACACGGUUGAUUUAUCCAACAAUUCAUCGAGAAGCCUGUUUCCGACACGUGUUUCCGAGUUCACGCUACAUUAAUUGCAAGGAGACGGCUGAAUUAUCAGCCGAGCCUUAUCUGGCGAGCGUGGUUCCUGUGUCGUUACUUCGACAGCUUAAUAAAGAAUAAUCGGUCAUUCGGUGUUAGUUAAAUAACGAGGUACUUGAUAGAGCUCUUUUAUCGGUAGACCACAGGAAGCUGAUAGUAGGCCUAACGAUAAAAAUUCUUCGCGAAGCCCUGCGAGACGUGAGAAUGUCGCCGGUUUAAUGCGUUAAGCUCUGUCGCUAAAGUACUGAUUUAUCUAAUGACAAUGAAAAGCUAUGUCUCAAAAAGAAUCCUUUUUAAGAAUGUUAUAAUUAUAUUAAAAAUAUCAAAUAUGCAUUUGCGGGAUGUAUAAUAUAAUUUUUCAAUCAAUACAUAUCAUUCGUUGAAUUAUUCUUGAUUUUAUAAAUGUUCUAAAUUUUCUUUUCCUCGAUUUUCUAACUUUCCGUCAGUUCAGUUUAAUGCAAAUAUAUUCAUUAUCAAUUUCGUUCUUAUCCUUUCUUCAUCUUCGAUCGAAAUCAUUCGUCUUUCGUAUCGUAUAAUUGUGAACGGUUGCACCCUUUCCAGGGUCACUCGAUACAAACGAGUUGUCGUCGUCAUCGUCAUCCUCGCUGAAGGUCCCCAGAGCUCCUUCGUAGGGCUUCUUAUAAGAAUUCCUUCGCGCCGAACGCGCACGUUAUCGUGUUACGAGUUUCGCGCGAUUCCUGCGUCUCGUUUUCUCUCGUCGGACCGGUUACUCCUCCUUAAAUCGUCUCGAUACUCGCCCUCUGAACUUCGUGUGCGAGAUCGCAUAUCGUUUAAAACAAUAAAGCCGAUUCCCCGACGGGGGGAUGGCAGAUCCGAUUUGCCGGGAUCAGGAUAAUGCUCCUGAAUUGCGCCACGCUUCGACGCCCACGGCGUUGCUCCUGCGAGGAAGGGAACCCGUCACGUUGCGCAAAUACGCGCAGGAUUAAGGUACAUUAGCUGUAAUAGCAAUGAUCGUCUCCUGCGCUUCAAUCGUGUUUCAAUCUAAUCGUCGUGAGCGUCCAAUAGUCACAAAUCGCUUUUAUCAAAUUGAAUUACGUCCAAGAUAAGUUAUCACAUUUUUAAACAUCUUCUGUGUCAAAAGUUCAUCUCCGAUAUUCUCAAAGAAAUAAUAUUUUGGUAUACUGUGUUUCUUUGGAUUAUAUUGUCUUCCUUCUUAAAUUACAAAAUUAGGACUUUUUAGGAUCUUAAUUUAGAAUUUUUAAAUAAUACUGUGUGCCAAAUCGUUGUCGAGAAUAACUCAGGAUUACAACUUGGCUUGCCAGAAAAUCAGAAUGUACGAAUAGAAUAGAUAUUAGGAUCGUUUCAUUCAUGAUCAUUAUGUUCGUAGGUAGUUCACGCUUCGAUGAUAAGAUCAACAAUGAUUUCGCUUUCUGGGGAUUGGAUCGUUUCAUCGGGAUUCCCAAAAUUCUUGGUCACACUUCGAGUGGGCUCGUUGGAUUUCCUUCGUGAAGGAGAAGGACGCGAGAUGAUUAAUAGCAUCUACCAUCGUUUUCACUCUUGCGAACAUCGUGCCUUCCUUCAAGGUUCAGGGCGAUCCUCCUCGCGUGACUCAAAGCCUUCCAAAAAUGAUACAAAGGCGUGCUCGUUUCACGUCACAGUAGCUACCGUAGUUCACAAUACAACGACAGGAUAAUGGACACGCAGGGAAAGUGUUCCGUCACUUUUUCACGGGUCAUUGGCUGACAGAGCGAAUUGGAGAAGCGUUUGUCGUUCCUUGUAAAAGCAGGAACUUUUCGAUAACUGCUCAUAAAUAUAAUAUUUCUCAAAACUUUAUUCGUGAAUCAAACAUUAUGUUGUCUCUCGUAAGAGAUCUUGGUGAAAUAUUCAUCUGUGUAACAGUGUCAAACAAAAACAAAUGUAGGAAUAAAUAAAGUGGUCAUUAAAUAAUUAAGUCUCUCCUUAAAAAUGUUGGUAUUAUUUGCGUUAAUUAUAAUACAUAUCACGAAUUCCUAUAUCACUGGAAACAUUAGAAUUAACGUUAUCACUUCGUGUCGCUUAAUAUGAUAAAAUAUAAUAGAUGGAAUAAUAUCUAUCGAUACGAUCGGAACAUAUUAAUAAAUUGUGCGCCGUAUAAUGACAAUAUGUUCUCUACAGUUGCACAAGAUAUUUCGCUGUGGCGCAGGGGAAGGACGAAACAAGCAGAAAAUCCAUCGCAAAUGAUACUUUUAAUCUAGAAAUUCUUUACAAAUAUGUACAAUGUAACGAAAGAGUUAUUU